UAAAAGGCAGUGGGGUCUCUGCAUCCAGGGAGCAGUGGGCUUGGGGCUAAGGGGAGGGAAGCCCGGUGCCAGCCAUUUAAAAAUGCCCAUGUGCCACUGAGGGGUGUCAGAGGUUCAGUCAAGUUAGUUGAGAAGCAGUGACACUCCCAGCCAUCCCCAACGGGCUGGCCCCUGUAUCGGGACCACAAGGAGCCACAUCUGGACUGGACUACAGGAGAGGCAAGGGCACUGGCUGCAGGGAGUCAUGCCUGCAGCCCUGACGCUGGAGGAGCAAGCACCCCAGCGGGGGACCUCCUGGUGACCAGAGGACGACAGGUCACAGGACCCCGGAAACAGAGCUGUGAGAGCCUCCCUGCCAGUCCCCAUCCAGUGCCCACACCUGCUCCACACCCGCACCACACGCUGCUGGAAGCUCCUGCAGAAAACGUGGUCCCUUGGGACACAUGCCCAUCCCAACCCUCAGAAUGACCAAGAAAUCAGGCCUCAGAAUGGGAGGAGUUGAAGAAAAACCCCUGAUGAUAUGAUGGGGUACAGGCAAUUUGGGAUUGUCAGGUCUGGAUUGUAGAUGAGAAGAAGUGGAGCCAAAGGCAGGGAAACCAACGAGGAGUCAAGUAUCAGCCCCACCGCAUGCUCUCUGCAAAUGCGAUGCGAAGCCUGCAUGCUAUGGAGAAUGAAGGACCUGGGGGACAUGUGGGGAAGGACAGAAUCUCCCCUGGAAAGGAGUCAGCUGGUCAGACUCUAGAAACAGAUGAGCUUGGGUUGUGUGAGCCUGGUCAUAACAGAAACAGCUCACGGGGCUUUGAAAGAGCACACAAGUCUGGGCCUGGGUGCACAGAGCUUGGCUCAUGGUGAAGCUCAGGGAGCCAUAGCAGUCUUUUAAUGUGUGUCACAUUAUUCCGACACUUGCCAAUUUUUACUUCCCUACAUGUGAAGCAGGCAGGGGGGGGGUGGCAGCUCCAUUAAACAGAUGGAGAGACUGAAGCCCAGGCAGGGGGAAAGAACUUAUUCAGAACCGCACAGUCAGUUGCAGAGGGUACUUCUGGUGCCAUAUUUCACGAGGAUGGAAAAAGUGGAGGGAGACUUGGAGGUGAGCAAAGGAAGCAGGGCUCCAGCAAGGAGCUGUCAAUCCAGACAUGUGACAAGGCCCAGUCCUAGCUUACAUAAGGCAACAUACCUGUUCACCUCUGCACACCCUGCACAUGUGCUCAAAUGUGUGCCCCAGCACCCAGCCCGCCCUUGCUGGCCAAAGAACCUUGGAGACUGGGUCUAAAAAAUUGGAUUAGGAGGGCUGCAAGCACUCCCCACCCACCCCUGCCUGGCUGGCUCCGACACUGAACAGGCCCGCAGACUGGCCAGCUGUGGUCUCUUGGCCACGCGGACAGUCAGUCCUCAGUCCCCUCCACCCGCCCCCAGGCCCCAGGAAGAGGGCCAGAUCCGAGAGGAUGCCACAAUGAUGGAUACACUGGAGGAGGUUCCAGGGCUGGCUCCAUAGCACACAGGAUGUUCACGCUUGUGCAAGGCUCAUUUUGGAGCGAUUCCCAGCAAUCCCUGCCCACACAGCCCCCGUCCUGCCCUCCCCUCUUGCAGCCUCUCCCACGGUCACUGCUGCCAGAGCCCAGAGCUCAGGGCCCAAGCAGAGCCACUGUCAACCCUCAGUCCCACAGCAGGGCUGAGUGGGGACUGGUCGACUUAGGAGACCACAGCCUGGGGAAGAGACACAGGCAGGCAUGCAGAGGGAAGAAGGAGCCGGUACACAGAAAGGCGAUGCUGUCGUAAAAGGUGGCACCUCAGUGCUUUCUCCCCCAUUGUUUUGUUUAAUCCUUAGGAUGUACAUGGGAGUUAGGAGAUUGUGCCCAUAGCACAGAUGUGACUACUGAGUUUCAUUUAUUCAGUGAUUCCACACCUCUCCUUUCCUGAGCCCCGAGUCUGUGCCAAGUCCUGUAUGGGGUGCCAGGGACACCGAGAUGAAUGACUUACAGCCUCUGGCCCUGUUGUCUGACUGAGCAAUCUCCUUUGGGCGGGGUCACUGGGCCCUGAGGCCUUGGUCUUCCAGGUGAGCAGGUCCGGCAGGCAGAAUCCCUUCUCCACAUGGCACAUGUGAGUGGUUGAAUAGCAUCAUCAAGGGGAGCCUCAGCAAUGGGCCCAUUCGGAGCACAGACCCUGGAGGUAGAGGUCCUGUCUUACUCCCUUUUCAGCUGAAUAGCUGUGGCCCAGUUAGCCUCUCUGACCUGUUUUCCCUUCUGUGAAAUGGGAAUUCCAAAGGACCCACCUCCUGGGGCUAACUGAGGAUUAAUUCUUUCCAUAUCUUCAUUUGACAUGAGGAGGAAAAGGCUGACAGAGGGAAAGGGCUCGGCCAGGGUCACACCGUGAGCUGGGGUCAAGUCAGGACUGGAGGGACCCUCCUCCCCAGCCCUGUAUCCCAGUAUAAACCCUCCCUACCCACUCUACCCCAAGCACCCAGAUGCCAGGCUGUACAUGUGACUACGGGGACAUGUCUUAGGGCCCACCUCCCCUGUCAGCCCUGCCCCAGCCUCUGCAGCACCAGAGUCCCAGGUGUGCGGCAGUGGCCCCAGGCCCUCAGCAGUGGUGGAGGGUGGGGGAGCGCAGGGCUGGUCUCCCUGCCCGGGCAGCCUGGCCAUAUAAGGGAAGGAGAGAUAGGCCUGGCUCAGGUCUGGUGAGAAAACCCAGACAGCCACUGUUUAUUUUCUCCUUCUCAGCCUCCCAGAGUUCGGAGCUUCCGGACAGGAGACAGAGGUUCCCCGCCUCAGCAACAUUUCCUGAAGACAGUGGGGAGCAGGGAGGGGAACACAGCCGGCAGGCUGCCCAGGUAAGAUUCUGAGGCCACCUGUUCAACUGCCUCCUUUGACAGAAGGGGAAAUGGAGCUGCAGAGAGAAGCACCCAUGAGAAGUGACUGUACCAGCUGGUGGUAGAGCCUAGGUCUCCCCAGUGGCCCCCAUCUCCUGGACCCAGAGUAAGAAGGAGCCUCUCAUGGGAUGCAAAGGAAGAAAACUAUAGCUACAGAGGACAUAGAGGCAAAUAUCCCCCCUGGUCAAAGGCUGCAUUCAAGCCGUGUCCCUGUGGCAGAGAUCCUCCCAGAGUAGCAUGGGUCUGCCCCCCACCCCAUCUAUUUCCUGUUUCCACACCAAGGAGAGAUGCUGUCUUUGCAGCAAUAUACCGAGUCCAGUGGAGUGUGCUGGAAAUAGUCCUCGACUCCAGUGGUUCAAGCUGGGCCGGGACUCUGCAGCCACACCUCCCCUCCCUGGUCCGGCCUCACCAGCUGUUCUGAAGUUAAAUGGACAGGGUGGGAUCCCAACUGCAGUCACUCAGAUGUCCUCUUUUCCAUUUUUGCUGUAUCUGCAAACAAUUAUAAUAUUUUAAAAUUUAAGAAUGGUCAUUGUUAAUACCUAAAUAUAAGUAGCUACUUUAAUGGAAAACUAUAAGGCUGUCCAUAAUGAGGAGAUAAAGGUAAGAAUAAAUACAGCACAAAUGAAAUACUUUACCUUGGUACUUGCAGGGCUCUGGGCCUAAGUCCUGCGGGAGAUAAGCAGAGGCUCGAAAAGUAUCAGAGACAGGAUAGCACCGAACUGAGGCUUCCUCCUCCCUGGUAAAUAGAACACUGAAAGCAAACUGAUGGGGAAUAACUUGAGUCGUUCUGUGUUGCCAAGUUAGUGCAGAGGCCAUGUGCAAAAUCACUCCUUCCCUGUGCUUAGAAAACCAAAAGUGGUCAAGUGGAAGUGCUUUGGACCAAGUCUCAUGCCAGGGAGUACAGGGGACUGGAGUUAGCAGCUUGGCUCCUGGUGGCAGAGGAGUGCCUUUCUGGGACAACUCUCCCUGGCUGCUUACAGAAACCUCCAGUUGGCCAGGCCAAGGGUUUUCUCCCGCAGGGUUGGUGGGAACCAUCAGAGGAUGGAGUAGACAGGCUGUGGACACCCCCAGGGUGGUGUCCCAUGUUGGAAUUGUUCCCAAGCCACAUGCAGUUUGCAGAGUUCCUACAGGAGAAUUCUGUAUUAGAGGGAGGCAGUUCUCUGGCUGGGAGUACUCCAGGGAGGGACUGUCCCACUGAGCAGCCUUUGGACUGACCUGCCCCCAGGGGCAGAGCAAGGGAAAACACUGUUCAGACUGGGGCCUGAUUUUAGAAUUCUGCAAGAGGCACAGGACACACUAUUUUUUUAAGGAACUAUGUGUUUUUCCCACUCUUUCCCACCCCUGGGGAAAGACUGCCCACCCCACUUUGCCCCUCAGAGAUCUCUGAAAGUGCAAGUCAUCAGUAUCAAGGCCACCCCAUUGGGCAUCGAGCAAAGUGAAAAGAUCUCAGGGGGUGAUCCUGAGAUCCCAGCAGCGCAGCAGGAGUGGAGGGGGCUCCUCCUGCUCACUCAGAGGUUCCCACCCAAGCCAAGUCUUGAGAGAAAAAUCCAACAGCUACACAGCCAUUCAAUCAUCCACCAAAUGGCAUUUUCUGGGGCCCAUCAUCAUACACAAAGGCCUCUGCAAGGGCCAGGGACUUCCUCAAAUUAGCAAAUUUGGGCAGUGUCCUCAGGCGACUGGAGAUCUAGCCAGUCAGACCCACAUAGAAAUAGCUCUGACACUAGUGAGAUUGAGGACUAAAUCCAGUCAUUCAAUCAACACUUACUGGAUGUCUACAGUGCUGGAAACUGCAUUCAAUGGUGAGUACACUUGCGAAGGGGCCCUUCCCUCACAGUCUACAAGUGGAGGUGGUCAUACACAAAAACUACAUCCCAAGUGCAGUAAAGGAUUAGAAAGCGGGCAGGGGAUGCAUGAGGACAUGGACCAGGGGUGUCCUGAUGUCUGAGGAAGUCGGGGAGGGCUUCUCAGAAGAGGUGGCCAUUUGAGCAGACAGUAAGCACACAAAAGGAGAUGGUCAGAGGGCAUGAGGAGGAGCAGCGUGGUACCUGGGGGCCCUGAGGUGGUAGGCCUGGGGCUUCCUGGAGGGAUGGGAGUGGCCCGAAGGGAAGAGGCUAGCUGGGACUUUGAUGAGGGUGUUAGAAUUUAGUCAGAGGACAGUGGGGGCCCACUCAGGAUUUUAAGCAUAGGAAGGAUAUGACCAUGUUUGCAUUUUGAAAAAUCACUCUGGGAGGAUGUCUGGGAAUGAUGGGUGGGAAGAGGUGGGGAGUGGAAACAAGAAGACAAGGUAAGAGGUCAAGCAAAUGUUUGAUGUGAUAAUGUAAAAUGUUAAGUACCAUGAAUGUACUUUUGGCUGGGCAUACCAAGCAUAAGGGUGGGGGUGUGGAGGCAACUUAUUGGAUGACUCCAUUCAUUACAACACCUAGACUCGGCAGCUCUACAGAGACAGGAGGUGGUCUGCCCGUGGUGGGCUAAGAGGGGUUAGAUAGUAAGAUUUCAGUGGUUGCACAGCUUUGUGAAUGUAUUAAAAACCAUUUCCUCGCACAACUUUAGGUGGGUAAUUAGAUCUCAGUCAAGCUUUUAUAAAGAGAAAAGGGAGGCUGUGGCUUGGUGCCGAAGGCUCCAAUGCCAGGCUUAGGACAGCAGCACAGCCAGGAGAGUGCCAGCAGUCUUUCUCUGGUCCAAGAACUUGAGGGUGGGGUUGAGGCCCCUCCGAUGCCCCUUCUCCUGCCCGGGGCGGACUCCCUGCCAAUGGCCCCUGGCUGGGCCCAGCGCCCUGUCUCCCAGCCUGAGGUGCAGUGCUGCAUCUCUGGUCAGUUGGGAGUCUGAGAUGAAGCACUGUAGCUCAGGAAGGGAGAAGUUGCUCUGCAAUGGCCAGCCUGGAAGCGGUAAGUGGCGGUGGUGUUUGGGGACACCAGGGAGGAUGGGAGUGUUUUUGGUCUCUGUACUGUCAGCUGCUUGUGCUAAGGAAGUUCCUGGACUUAAGUCCUAUCCAGGCCACUGUUUGCCUUGUGAUUCUGGGCAAGUCCUGACUCCUCUAUGCACUCCAGCUCAUUCAUCUGAAAAAUGAAGUGUUGGGGCAUUCAGUGGGGGCCAUCACCCAGUAUCCUGCCUCUGAUUUCUCUUCCUGAGCCUACGGUGGGCACUGCUGAUCAGCCAACGCAUCUAUUAUUGAAGCAUUCAGAAUCCUUCUCGACACUAAGUCCUGGAGAGCUACUACUAAUGAUUCGGAGCUGAAACCCAUUCAUUGUUUGUGGAUUACACAAUUCCUAAAAAUCGCUAUGUCACUAAAGAUGAGGUCCUAGACUUUGAAUCAGGCUUUUCACUCUUUGAGCCCCUAACCUGGGCUCCAGGCUAUUGCCUAAACCAAUCCAGGCAUCUCAUAAAUGUCUGACCUCUCUCAAAGGCUACAAACAAGCAGAGAACAACAGAGGAAAAUCACUGGAUUAAACAAUUUUAUUUAACCUCCCAACAAGCUUGGGAAGUGGGCAAUGUUAUGGACCUGUUUUACAGAUGAGAAAACUGAGGCUCAGUAAAACAACUCCUCCAAGGUCUCACACUGACUAUAUUGAGCUAGGGUUGCAGCCUAACCUGUCUGCCUUCAGAUCCAUGUUCUUACCCACUGCGUGUGAUUUCACAACCUGGAGGUGAGGGAGGAGGAGGCAAACAAUAAAUCCCACUCUGGUCUUGCCUUUACACCUUGGGUCACUUUUAGCAAAGACAGGCCCAGACACUCUCAUCACUCCUACAGACCCCUUUCCUCCCCUCCCCCUGCAGUGGUAUUUACCUCAGCUUAUCGGUAGGUACCAUACUAUCCCAUUUUACAGUUAUUGAAAGCUGAGGUCAGAUGGCUUGCCGGAGAUCAUCAGUGAGGAAGUUCCCAAACAGAGACUGGGAAGUGGAUCUGCCCGGCUGGUUUCGCGUGAAGCCCUCCCUCUGCCUGGAGACUCAGGGACACACUCGACCCAUGAAAUCAUGGGGGAGGCGGGGCUGGGAUGCCACAUGGCUCCUGAUUGACAGCAUGACGUUGACUAGAAGGUACUUUCCAGGACACUUGGGGUUCCAGUCACUCCUUAUCCAGGAGCCAUCAGCCGCUGUGAUGCAUGGCACCCACACUGGCUUCUGCAGAUGGGGCUGGAUGCAGAAGAAGGCUCCAGCAGGUCCUUAGGGACGUGGCCAGGCCUUGGCGCUAACUCUCUCCCCUUGUCCUCACGGUCCAGUUUUCCCAGGAAUCCCUUAGAUGCUAAGAUGGGGAUUCCUGGAAAUACUGUUCUUGAGGUCACGGUCUAACAGCUGGAUUCAAGUCCUUCCCAGCCCACAGCUGUCCCUGUGGGGCCUCGGCUCAAGCACGGGCUAAGGGUUGGGGAGAAGGCCACACACUGGAGGCAAGAGGGCUUGCACACUGUGUUCUUGACCUUUAAGUUGCCUUUUUUCCCAUUUUGUCCAUUUCAUGACAUCACCAUGAGGCUAAAUGUGGGAGCUUCUCCACUGCUGUACUUGAGAAAUUUGUCCCAGCUCUCAGCUGAGCGGCAGUUGGACCAGGACACCAUAAAGCAUGUUUCUUCUGUGUCCACUCCACCUUUGCCCCACUUCCCAGCAUGCUUUGUGUAGGGGCCACAAUAUCAGAUCCACCACACACAUAAAUUUAUUUUAACCAUUUAUUAAAUCAGUUAGGUAAACUAAAAGUCUUAGUUCAAUUUGGAAUGCAGCUACAGAAAAGUGAAAACGUUUUCAUCGAGGUAAAGAACACAAAAAAGCUCAGAGCACCCUCUUGUGGUGACACCUGCCUCUCCCCACUCCAGAAACACUGGCGCUGAGCCCCACCCAUUAACUCAUUAGCAAUGAUGCCUCCAUCACUUGCCAAGGUACCUUCACUUCCCCAGCCUGGCUUUGUCCUCAAAGCUCCCUGAAGCUCAGUGUGGUAGGUGAAGCUCGGAGGGAGGCAUGAAGGGACCAAGGUCUCCCAGAUGGCAAAAGGCAGAGCCAGGAUUGAUUCCACGUUCAGUAGCCUAUGGCAAUUACUUAGCCAAAAGCAAAAACUACAAAAAUAAAAAAUAAAAAGAAGACUCACUCUGAAUAAACAUGGGGAAUGCCAAUGAUGGGAAGCCAAAGAGCUGAAGUGGUCCAGGUGCCACACUGGAACUUUCCUCAAAAUCUUCCCUAGUGCUUCUUAUGUUGCUGGUAGAGACAACAGGUGCCAUGGCCCUAGAAUCCUCACUUUGGGUCUGAUCCCCACAUCCCCAGGCUAUCUUCCGAACAGGCCACCGUAAAGACAUUUAUGAAGUAUGAGAUCUCCCUCUAUCUCACAGAGAGACUGGAGCUGAUCUGACUUGCUCAUAAUAAUAAUAAUAAUAAUAAUAGUUUCCACUCAUUGACUAUUUACAAUUUGUCAGGCACUGUGCUAAACACUUUCACAGGCAUUAUCUCAACCCUCACAAGUCAGGCAGACUCCAUUAUGUAUUACACUUCACAGUUAAGGAAACCAAGGCUCAGAGAGGUGAAGAGAUAUAGACUAAGGUCACACAGCUAAUAAGUUGUGAAGCUGGGGUCAAAUCAAGUCUGUUUAUGCUUUUAACCUGCCCUUCCCCCUCCCUCCCAUUGGCCUGGCCUGGCGGUCAGGUUGUCUCCAUGUGACCUCCCCUGGGGGAGAGAGUAAAACCAGCCUUCAGUGAGACCCAGCUGGACCCUCCUGUGCUCUGUGACUGUAAUAAAGUGCUGGACCCUU